rnacentral:RNase_P_RNA from 1 species
GGGCAGGAUGCCGGAUAACGUCCGGUGGAGGCGACUCCAAGGAUAGUGCAACAGAGAUAUACCGCCGUCUCCCUGCGGGACGGUAAGGGUGGAAAGGCGGGGUAAGAGCCCACCGAUUCUCUGGUAACAGGGAAUGCCAUGUAAACCCCAUCCGAAGCAAGACCGAAUCGAAAGUGAUAAUCCGGCCCGGAUUGCUUUCAGGUGGGUCGCUAAAGUCUGCCGGCGACGGCAGAAUCAGACAGAUGACCAUUCACGACAUAACCCGGCUUAUCGUCCGGCUCU